UGGGGAAUAUUGCACAAUGGGCGCAAGCCUGAUGCAGCCAUGCCGCGUGUAUGAAGAAGGACUUCGGGUUGUAAAGUACUUUCAGCGGGGAGGAAGGGAGUAAAGUUAAUACCUUUGCUCAUUGACGUUACCCGCAGAAGAAGCACCGGCUAACUCCGUGCCAGCAGCCGCGGUAAUACGGAGGGUGCAAGCGUUAAUCGGAAUUACUGGGCGUAAAGCGCACGCAGGCGGUCUGUCAAGUCGGAUGUGAAAUCCCCGGGCUCAACCUGGGAACUGCAUUCGAAACUGGCAGGCUAGAGUCUUGUAGAGGGGGGUAGAAUUCCAGGUGUAGCGGUGAAAUGCGUAGAGAUCUGGAGGAAUACCGGUGGCGAAGGCGGCCCCCUGGACAAAGACUGACGCUCAGGUGCGAAAGCGUGGGGAGCAAACAGG
rnacentral:rRNA from 1 species